UUACGACUACAUAUCAGGCAUAUCAAUAAGCGGAGGAAAAGAAACUAACUAGGAUUCCCCUUAGUAACGGCGAGUGAAGCGGGAAGAGCUCAAAUUUGAAAUCUUCAAGGUUCUACCUUGACGAAUUGUAGUUUAAAGGAAGUGUUUUCUGUUAGAGUUGAGUACAAAGUUCCUUGGAAUAGGACAUCAUAGAGGGUGAGAAUCCCGUAUUUGGAUUAUUCAUUCUAGCUUUGUGAUACACUUUCAAAGAGUCGGAUUGUUUGGGAAUGCAGAUCCAAAAUGGGUGGUAAAUUUCAUCUAAAGCUAAAUAUUGGCGAGAGACCGAUAGCGAACAAGUACCGUGAGGGAAAGAUGAAAAGAACUUUGAAAAGAGAGUUAAACAGUACGUGAAAUUGUCAAAAGGGAAGCGUUUGACACCAGUGUUGUUUAGUUGAAAAUCAAUUCAAUAGUUUUUGAUUCUAAGUAGUAUUGACUUCAUCAGCUUGCUGCUUUCUUCUCAGAAAUUAUUGAAUGCACUUUUCAGUUAACAAGUCAACAUCAAUUUCUUUUGUUGUAAAAGGGUAAGAGGAAGGUGGCUUGCGCUUCGGCUCAAGUGUUUAUAGCCUUUUAUCUCUGCAAUCGGAGAGAUUGAGGUCUGCAGCGUAGAUCCUUCGGGGUUAGAUACAUUGGUGCUAAGCUAUAGCCUUGUAUAGACAACUUGUUGACUAUGCUCAGUCAUGUAGCUUACUCGCUGAUGCUAUUUUACCUACGCUUAGGAUGUUGAGUAGCGACAUACGCAC
rnacentral:rRNA from 1 species